CCAGCGUUUGAGGGCGGCGGGGCGCGUAACGCGGCUGUGCCGGGGGUGUCUCUGGAGCCUAGUGAAGCUGGGGUUGAGCGGGCAGGUGUGCUAACGUCCGCGGGAUGUUUUAGUCCUCUUUCUUGCUUAUGAGUGCCUUCGCCCGAGUGAGUCUGUUUCUGCUGGUAGGAGGAUGGGUGUAAGGUGCCUCCAUAUGUCGCUCUGUUUCUUCUCGUCUUUAUUUAAAAGCGAGUCGUCCUGAAGCUGUGGGUGCCGCCUGUGCCUCCGUCCGCUGUCAGGUAGACGGAAGCCAUUAGGGCAGUGGGAGCGGUGUGCCAGCGGGGCCUUUGCCGUGCUACUGCAUCGGGGCCCACUCGACCCGGCCGUGCUUCAGCGCUGACUGUCGUCCAGACGUGGUAGCAUUCGAAAGAGCGAGCACCCAAAACCCGUUUAAGCGCUGGGACCGCUGGACCUAGAUGCUGGGCAUCAGCCCUCACAGUCUUGCGUUCCUCGCCGCCCUCUUGCCGCCCCAGCUAGCACACUGAGUGUAAAUCCUUACAAAUCAUGUUAGAAGAGUCAUUCUUCUCAAGAUGAUUGUUCAGAGGAUUUUGAAGAUCUGAGGAGAGCAGUGCUCUUUGGGCAGCAGUGUGAGGAUUUGAAAAAGAAAGAAGAUUAGUAUGACAUACCAGUACUUAUACAAAGAUGACUGCACUAGGGUAUAGAGACAAACUUUACCUGCAGUUUUAACAACAGAUGCGGAAAGACUGAAACACCUUCUGACUGUCGUUGUUACUAUCAGCAAGGAGAAAAACACCUACUAAAGGAUUUAUACUUCUAUGAUAUUCUUGAGAUCAGUCUGCAAAAUGGCCACUGCUUGGAGGGACACCUGGCCUUUCACCAGUGCCAGCUAUUCAUGUUAAACCAGUACAGCAUCAAAGAGAGCUUAACUAAGAAGAUGCUGCUGACAUUGGCAGUAGUGGAAGGCCUGUAACCAGACAUGCAUCACCUCUUCUAUUGCACUCCAGCCUGUGAAAACUUCUGAAAAAAAUGAAGAAGGCUUUUCUAUUAAGAGAAAUAUUAAUGAAUGUCAAUGUUGUAUCUUUUGUAAUUUUAAAUUAGAGGAUGCUAACCAGUCACAAAAUAAAGUUACCUGUUUUACACAGUUGCUACCAGUUUCACUUUAUGGUUGAACUUCACUUGACAAUUCAAGUUAGAAUGGGUGGGUCUGGUCAGACCUGGCUUUCAGUGCAUGUUGUAUGACACAAAUGGAAUUUCUCUAGAGGCAUGGAAAGUUGGUUUUGCAUUUUACCUUAGACCUGAAAGUGAAAGAACUGACUUCAGCCUCAACUAAAAUUGUUGGUGUAACUAUCGCGUAACAACUGUCAGCUUUGUAAUAGUUCUACGCUGAUCUCAUGAAUAUUGAAUUUUCUUGGGAUUGGGAUGUUUUGUAUUUUCAACUGUUUUCAUUUCCAUUAUAAACAAAGCUAUAACAAUGUAAAAAUUAAGGAAAAUAUGGUAAUAAUUGAAGUUAGAGAAGAAGAAACAAUAGUUUACCUUUAAGCCAACAAAAUACCAGUUUUGCAGAUAUUUUUAUCAGCCAUUGUACUGAAAUAUCAAGUAUCCUUGGAUUUAAUACUUGCAAAAUAAAUGGCCAAUCCUGAAAAAAUACUUAA